GCCAAGGAAGGCACUGAGCCCCAAGCUGUCCCCACAAACCCAAGUGCUUGAAAUGCCCUCCUCUACCUCAUACUAUUCCUCAACAACGUCAUAAUUGACAGACGUGAGUUGGUGUCUUCCAAAGGUGGAGAAGAAGUGACCUGGCAGAAGAUGGUGAAACUUUCUAAUGGUUGGAACCAACAUGCAGUACCUCCAGCAGGCAGAGAGGCAUGAACCGUUUUUUCGCCAGCUCAGGGACAAGCUACACUAUUCACAACCCUGUGUAAUGUUCAAUGUAAUUGCAUUGCUGGACUUUUGGGGUAUUAAUGGAAGGGGUUUAAAAUGUAAAAAUAA